CUACGAACUGUGCAAACGUUAUUCGGAAUCACUGGGCUUAAAGGGUGCGUAGGCGGGUUUGAAGGUCUGAUGUGAAAGCCCACGGCUCAACCGUGGAAUUGCGUUGGAAACCACAAGCCUUGAGGGAGUCAGAGGUGAGCGGAACUAAUGGUGGAGCGGUGAAAUGCGUUGAUAUCAUUAGGAACACCGGUGGCGAAAGCGGCUCACUGGGACUCUUCUGACGCUGAGGCACGAAAGCUAGGGGAGCGAACGGGAUUAGAAACCCCUGUAGUCC
rnacentral:rRNA from 1 species